ACAGUUUAACUCAAUUACAGUAGCUCUCCAAAUAAAGAGUUAGGAUGCCAUUCCUGCUUCUUAUAAGCAAAUACACAAACUUGAGGUUAGAAACCUACUUACUCUUCAUAACAAAACAAGGCUCCUAAGCACGACAAUUCUCCUUUGGUCCAUCAGCUGUGAGUGAAUCAUUGCUAGCAUCCAAAACACCGAGGAGAGGCACGGCAAUGACUUGGCACUCACAAACAUGCUCUGCACAGGCAGGCACGUCUGGCGACGCACAGCACCAAACUGCCUCUCACUAACUCUUCAGCGAUCUACCCCUCUGUGCAAGCCAAGACCCUUCCCGACAACCCCCACGUUUUGCAUCCGAUCAAUUUAGAGAUGAACACAUUUAAAACCUGUAGAAGUUGCUGGAAUAAUGAAGAAAUUUUGGAAGGACAAUUUUUUUUAAAUGGAGAUAUUCACAGCUUGUUUCAAAGACCAUUGUUCUCCAGGGAGGACGUGCAACCAGUGCAGGGCUGUAUGGAACAUGAGGAUAUUUGGCUAACAGUUUCUCAGCGUAAAACACAAGAAUAAGAAACAAGAAAAGUAAUAAAUUAAACAUUCUGAUACUGCAGGCCCUGAGGAAGAGGACAGUAACAAAUAUGGGAAUCCUUACGUUGCUGAUUGAUAGGCCAUUUAAGGACCUGAUGAAGCAUAGCCUUGAAGAGGUUCAGCCAGAGCCAUGUCACUGACAAGAACAAGGAAAAUGACAUUAUCAUAGAUACUAUGGGAAUAAGGAAACUUUUAAUUGGGUCUUUGAGGGGACUGGUGAAGCUCUGUAAAAUUUACUGAGGCAUGUUUUAAUGAUUAUGAGAAUGAACCAAACUUAUGGUGUGCUUAGGGAAGGGGUGAAAUGUGGGGAAAGGAAGAUGUGGAGAUGGAUCAGGAACAAGUGGGAAAAUGGCAGGGGAAGGAGGUAAGAAUGGUUGGUUGUAUGUGAGCAAGCCACUAGCUGAUGAGCAUGUCUGACGAAGACCUGUGCUUGACUGCCUUUGUGUUCUCUCUCUUUUUAUUAAAUACUAUUAUUCCUGUCUGUUUAUCAAGUGAAUGUGCCUGAUUGACAGUGAGCCUCAUGACAAGUUAGCUGGUGGGACAGGAGUGCCAGCUCCUAAAUGCAGAGACCGUUUGUUGAAGUGACCCAUAGGUCUGGGGGCAGACAGCCACAGAGCUUGCUGCCAGAGGCACACAUUGCAUGCAUGACAUGCUAGCAAGCUCUGAGCCCAAUUAGCUGAUAGGUUAGAAUAUGGUCAACUACCUGAAGUGUUCAAGUCAGCACAAGUGCCUUUGGUGCAAAGCGGCAGCUGUGUGGGUGCAGGGAAGAGCGCUGUUCUCCUCAUGUUGGUCUUUGUUGCCAGAUGUAAGUAUUUGCAUCUUUGGACUUCCUGACUGCCACUGGACAUGGGAAUAGGAAUGGCAGCAUGCACAUCAACAGAAGAAAAAUCCUGGGGACUUGCAGCCCAUCUAUCUAACCUUCCCUUCUGCUUACCUCACCAGCCAUCCCAAUCUCCUUUCCCCCAUGUUGGCUUUGUAGCCUACAGUAUAUCUACACUGUGUCUAUACUGUAUGCAAACAUAAGAUAAGCUGGGUGUCAGCAACUGCAGAAAGCAGACAUCCGUAUGGAGAAGUCUGUAUAUCUGUGUUUUACAGCUUUGCUUCUUAGCACCUUCUCAGAGGUGGUAAUAUGAUUUUAUAAACUUACAUAUACCACAGGAUUUUAAAGCUUGUCUCUUCAAGAGAAUAAAUUAAGCUAAUGUGCAAGUGCAGAGGAGAUUUCAGAAAUGUCUAUCUGAAAUCUUGGUGUGUUUGCAGGAGCUCUAUUCAUAUAUUACAGUAGCACAUUGAUUUAAUAUCUCAUUUCAAGUCCACCUCAUGGAUCUGUGGGAAUGACAUAGCUUUUGCCAUCAAUGUGAUCAGGCUGAAAAGUUGCUUUUCUAUCUUCAUUUUUGUUCCUGAAAAUACACUUUUGACACUUGAUUUGUGAUUGCUGACACCUCACAGCUGAUAUAUGACUCAAGAGUUAAGAGGCACAGGGCCAGACAGAAUGAGCUAGCUAUAAUCUCUAAAACAUACAACACCCUCUGACACCAAAUGUGAAAAUCAUCAGCUUGUAUUUUCUGUCAUACAGAAAUAAUAAUAA